GUAGGUGAACCUGCGGAAGGAUCAUUACCGAGUUAGGGUCUUUGGCCCGACCUCCAACCCUUUGUGUACCUACCUUUGUUGCUUUGGCGGGCCGCCGGGCUACUACAGCUCGCACCUGGACCUCUGAGGCCCGUGAGAGCCCGCCAGAAGCCUUUUUAAAACUUCAUGUAUGGUUGCAGUCUGAGUAGACGUUUAAUCUAGUUAAAACUUUCAACAACGGAUCUCUUGGUUCUG
rnacentral:misc_RNA from 1 species